ACUUCGGGGCAGGGUGAAAUUCCCUACCGGUGGUGACAGCCCACGACCCGGACCUUUGUCCGGCUGACUCGGUGAAAUUCCGGGGUCGACGGUACAGUCCGGAUGAAAGAAGU
rnacentral:ncRNA from 1 species